UUCGGUACAUCGGUGACAGGUGGUGCAUGGUUGUCGUCAGCUCGUGUCGUGAGAUGUUGGGUUAAGUCCCGCAACGAGCGCAACCCCUAUUGUUAGUUGCCAUCAUUCAGUUGGGCACUCUAGCGAGACUGCCGGUAAUAAACCGGAGGAAGGUGGGGAUGACGUCAAAUCAUCAUGCCCCUUAUGACCUGGGCUACACACGUGCUACAAUGGUUGGUACAACGAGUUGCGAGUCGGUGACGGCGAGCUAAUCUCUUAAAGCCAAUCUCAGUUUCGGAUUGUAGGCUGCAACUCGCCUACAUGAAGUCGGAAUCGCUAGUAAUCGCGGAUCAGCACGCCGCGGUGAAUACGUUCCCGGGCCUU
rnacentral:rRNA from 1 species